rnacentral:misc_RNA from 1 species
AACGCACCUUGCGCUCCUUGGUAUUCCGAGGAGCAUGCCUGUUUGAGUGUCAUUAAAUUCUCAACUUCAUCAGUUUUGUUAUAAAGCUGUGUGAAGCUUGGAUGUGGGGGUUUGUGCAGAGUGCGUAAAAAGCAACCUGCUCCCCUUAAAUAAAUUAGCGAGUUCAAACUAGGCUCCGUCUAUUGGUGUGAUAAUUAUCUAUGCCGUGGAUUGGGCUUAGACUUGCUUCUAACCGUCCGCAAGGACAAUCUUUUGACAAUUUGACCUCAAAUCAGGUAGGACUACCCGCUGAACUUAA